AGUAACGCGUGGGCAACCUGCCCCAUAGAGGGGGACAACAGCUGGAAACGGCUGCUAAUACCGCAUAACAAGGAGAGAGCGAAUGUUCUUUUCUUCAAAGAUUUAUCGCUAUGGGAUGGACCCGCGUCUGAUUAGCUAGUUGGUGAGGUAACGGCUCACCAAGGCGACGAUCAGUAGCCGGCUUGAGAGAGUGAACGGCCACAUUGGGACUGAGACACGGCCCAGACUCCUACGGAAGGCAGCAG
rnacentral:rRNA from 1 species